AUUGAACGCUAGCGGGAUGCCUUACACAUGCAAGUCGAACGGUGUUGCGAACGGGUGAGUAAUGUAUCGGUACGUGCCCAGUCUCGGGGGAUAACUACGCUUAAGCGUAGCUAAUACCGCAUACUACUUGCGCGGCCGAUAUCGGAUUAGCUCGUUGGUGGGGUAACGGCUGACCAAGGCGACGAUCCGUAGCUGGUUUGCGAGGACGACCAGCCACACUGGGACUGAGACACGGCCCAGACUCCUACGGGAGGCAGCAGUGGGGAAUUUUGGACAAUGGGGGAAAGCCUGAUCCAGCCAUCCCGCGUGAGCGAUGAAGGCCUUCGGGUUGUAAAGCACUUUUGGCAGGGAAGCGGUACCGACAGAAUAAGCACCGGCUAACUACGUGCCAGCAGCCGCGGUAAUAC
rnacentral:rRNA from 1 species